UACGUAGGGGGCAAGCGUUGUCCGGAUUUAUUGGGCGUAAAGAGCGUGUAGGCGGCUUUACAGGUCCGUUGUGAAAACUCGAGGCUCAACCUCGAGACGCCGGUGGAAACCGUAAAGCUGGAGUCCGGAAGAGGAGAGUGGAAUUCCUGGUGUAGCGGUGAAAUGCGCAGAUAUCAGGAGGAACACCCGUGGCGAACGCGGCUCUCUGGGACGGUACUGACGCUGAGACGCGAAAGCGUGGGGAGCAAACAGG
rnacentral:rRNA from 1 species